UACGGAGGGUGCGAGCGUUGUCCGGAAUCACUGGGCGUAAAGGGCGCGUAGGCGGUCUGCUAAGCGUGUGGUGAAAGCUCGGGGCUCAACCCCGAGUCGGCCGUGCGAACUGCGAGACUGGAGCAGAUCAGAGGCAGGCGGAAUUCCGGGUGUAGCGGUGGAAUGCGUAGAGAUCCGGAAGAACACCGGUGGCGAAGGCGGCCUGCUGGGAUCUUGCUGACGCUGAGGCGCGACAGCGUGGGGCAGCAAAC
rnacentral:rRNA from 1 species